AGAUUCCGCAGAGCCCCAAAUCCCCAAAUUUGAAAAUCACGGAACCCUUCUCCAUUUUCCAAGCUUUCGCCGCCGUCCACCUCUCUUCUCCACUCCCUCCACGGAACGACAGCAGCGACUUGCCGUCGCCGCCCCUACGCCACUACUCUAGCCCCCGACUCCAGUUCGCCCCUCUCGCUUCCGCCGAAGAGCAGCAAACUUCUAUCGUCAGCCCGCCUCCUUUCCUUUCUCUCGGUCAAAUGCCGACAUAGCCACCUCUACUUAUUGAAGGUUGAACGGGCGACUCUCUCUCUAAGCUCUUGCCUUGGCCGGACACUCAACAUUACUUUUGCCAAAAUGUGACACUCAGCAACAGAUCUCCCCAGUUCUAUUUUGCUUUUCUUUUGUUUUUGUUUUAUUUUUGUGUUGAAACUUGAAACCACUUCAGUCACUCUUCAGAUUAUAAAGUUAAUUUUUGUUUCUGUAUUAUUUUUAUGUUCUCUGUCCUGGUGAUUUGAUUUCUGGUUUUCUGGUUCAUGUCUUCAAAAUUGAUUUUGCUGGUGAAUUGGUUUUGGGAUGUCUUCAAAAUCGAUUUUGCUGGUGAAUUGAUUUUACAUAAAUAGAUUUUAUUUUCCGAACGAGAGUCGGAGAGAGAGAUGGAG
rnacentral:lncRNA from 1 species